ensembl:lncRNA
UGGAAACCUCAAGUGCACAUAGUAGACCUUAUGUACCUGAGCUUGUUUUUACAAGGAAAAUUCACUAUCAAAACAACAGAGAAGAAUGAAUGAGAAAUGAAGAAAGUCAGGAAUUGUAGUGAGACAGAGGGACAGAGACUGGUGUGUAUGUUCUCCCAUCUUAGUCCAGUGGACUGUAAGCUUCUAGGCACCAUUAACUCAUGUUAAUGGAGUUUAUAUAGUAGAGUCAUGUGAAUAUAUAGUUUUUUUUUUCUUUAAUAUUUUCCUCAGACUUGGAGGAAGAGUUGUGAAAAAUGAGUGAAGUAAAUAAUACACACAUGUCAGCAAAUACAGUAGUAUUAGCUUUACAUAGAAAAUGGUUCACUUUUUCAUGCGUGAGAUUGCAGGGAUUUAAUGAGGAUCUCCCAGCUGCUUAAGAUAAUGAGUGAGAAAGACAGAAGGAAACACGCAGGGCAGAAUGUGAGGGUGCUGGAGAGGAGAGGAGAAGCUCCUCGCCGAGGCUUGCAGAGACAGAUCGGUCUUCCUGGUAGAAGUACCGUACAAGCUGAGCCACUGAAAGGUGAGGGGAGCUAGCUGGGUGCCAGGAGGAAGCAGGGAGAUGCCUGCCUGGUCUGUUCAAAGGUAAGAAAGUCUGUAUGUGAGUUUAGGGACUUUCCAGUAGUUCAUUUUAGCUAGAGUUUAAGGACAAGGGAGAGGAGAGUAGGUGAGAGGCAAGUCUUACAGGUAAAAACGGAGGCCUGCUCUUUUUUGGGGGGUAUUUUAUUUUGGCCCGCAUCAGGUCUUAGCUGUGGUCUGUGGGUUCUUCGCUGUUUCACUCCGCCUUCUCUCUCAUGGACAGGCUCAGUAUAGUUGCAGAAUGCCACAUGUGGGCCCUUCAUUCCCUGACCACAGGUUGAACCCACCCUCUGUGUUGGAAGGCAGAUUCUUAACCACUGGGCCAUCAAGGAAGUUCCAGGGGCCAGAUCUUGAUAAAUUUUAUAAGCCAUGUUAAAAAGAUGAGGGUUUUUUGUUUGUUUGUUUGUUUUUAACCCCUGCAGGGCAAGUGGGAUAUCUUGAAGAGUUUUAAGCAGGGAAGUGAUUCAGUUAUAUUUGAUCACUAUGGAAAAUAUGGAUGAAGCAUUGGGAGGAAGAUAAGAUUGGAAGCAAGGUGAUUGAUUGAACCGUUGCUAUGAAGCAAAUGAGAGAUGGUGGUAUACAUUUCUGAAAUCUCCAGGAAUUAGUGGCUGUAGAAUGCUUUGAAAAAUAAUAUUCAAAAUCCGAGUAAGGGAAAGCCAUUAACAGCUGCUUGGGAAGAGCCCUGAACUGAACAGAUGCAAAGGAGCAUCAAGAAAUGGAGCAAGAAAUGAGGCUUGGGACCAGGUUGGGCGCUGCAGUGGUCUGUGAAUCCUCUGUGUGAAACCAGAUUUCCAGGUAAGGAAUUUGUUGUUGUUGAAUAACUAAGUUGUGUCCAACUCUUUGCAGCCCCAUGGAUUGCAGCACACCAGGCUUCUCUAUCCCUCAGUGUCUCCUGGAGUUUUCUGAAACUCAUGUUCAUGGAGUCGGUGAUGCCAUCCAACCGUCUCAUCCUCUGUCAUCCCCUUCUCAUCCUGCCUUCAGUCUUUCCGAGCUGCUGCUGCUGCUAAGUCGCGUC